UACCCCUAGCAAAUCUCAAAAAACCGUUCUCAGUUCGGAUUGGAGUCUGCAACUCGACUCCAUGAAGUUGGAAUCGCUAGUAAUCGCGGAUCAGCACGCCGCGGUGAAUACGUUCCCGGGCCUUGUACACACCGCCCGUCACACCAUGGGAGCUGACUCAACCAGAAAACGAUCAGGGUAACCGUAAGGGGCCCUUCGUUGAAGGUGGGGUCAGCGACUGGGGUGAAG
rnacentral:rRNA from 1 species